GCGGGGCUAGCUCAAUGGUAGAGCACUGGACUUCCAGUUCAGUUGUCGGGGUUCGAUUCCACCGGCUCCGCUCCA
rnacentral:tRNA from 1 species